UACGGAGGGUGCAAGCGUUAUCCGGAUUCACUGGGUUAAAGGGAGCGUAGGUGGGUUGGUAAGUCAGUGGUGAAAUCCCCGAGCUUAACUUGGGAACUGCCAUUGAUACUAUCAGUCUUGAAUACUGUGGAGGUUAGCGGAAUAUGUCAUGUAGCGGUGAAAUGCUUAGAUAUGACAUAGAACACCAAUUGCGAAGGCAGCUGGCUACACAAAUAUUGACACUGAGGCUCGAAAGCGUGGGGAUCAAACAGG
rnacentral:rRNA from 1 species